rnacentral:lncRNA from 1 species
ACACUCCUUCUGGGACUUCAGACAUCACAGGCAUGGUAAAAACUCUAAUUCUUUAUGCACUGUGGAUAAAAGUAAAUAACUACCUAAGGUAGAUGUAAGAAUGCCAAUAUUCACAUUUCUGGUAUGUCUUAUAACGUCUUCUAACAUUUUCUAUGUGUUAAAAUAUUCCAUGUGCUGUUGAAUAGAAUAUAUAUUCUGCAGUUGUAAAAAAUAAGAGAAAAGAAAUUACUAAAAUCAAAGCAGAACUGAAUGAAUUUGAUAUCCCCAAAUCCAUACAAAGGAUCAGCAAACCCAAAACUUGGUGCUUUGAAAGAAUAAAUAAGAUCUGUAGACCACUAAUCAGAUUACCAAAGAAAGAAGAAGAGAAGAUCCAAAUAAACACAAUCCGAAAUGACAAAGAUGGCAUUACAACUUAUCCUACAGAAAUAUAAAAGAUCCUCAGAGACUACUAUAAACAUAUCUAUGCACACAAACUGGAAAAUUUAGAGGAAAUGAAUAUAUUCCUAGAAACACACAACCUCCCAAGAUUGAAUGAGAAAGAAAUUGAAACUCUGAAGAGAC